GACGAACGCUGGCGGCGUGCCUAAUACAUGCAAGUAGAACGCUGAAGGAGGAGCUUGCUUCUCUGGAUGAGUUGCGAACGGGUGAGUAACGCGUAGGUAACCUGCCUGGUAGCGGGGGAUAACUAUUGGAAACGAUAGCUAAUACCGCAUAAUAGCAGUUGUUGCAUGAUAACUGUUUGAAAGGUGCAAUUGCACCACUACCAGAUGGACCUGCGUUGUAUUAGCUAGUUGGUGGGGUUACGGCUCACCAAGGCGACGAUACAUAGCCGACCUGAGAGGGGGGUCGGCCACACUGGGAAUGGGGCACGGCCCAGACUCCUACGGGAGGCAGCAGUAGGGAAUCUUCGGCAAUGGACGGAAGUCUGACCGAGCAACGCCGCGGGAGUGAAGAAGGUUUUCGGAUCGUAAGGCUCUGUUGUAAGAGAAGAAAGAGUGUGAGAGUGGAAAGUUCACACUGUGACGGUAGCUUACCAGAAAGGGACGGCUAACUACGUG
rnacentral:rRNA from 1 species